rnacentral:rRNA from 1 species
UACGUAGGGGGCAAGCGUUGUCCGGAAUUAUUGGGCGUAAAGAGCUCGUAGGCGGCUUGUCGCGUCGGUUGUGAAAGCCCGGGGCUUAACCCCGGGUCUGCAGUCGAUACGGGCAGGCUAGAGUUCGGUAGGGGAGAUCGGAAUUCCUGGUGUAGCGGUGAAAUGCGCAGAUAUCAGGAGGAACACCGGUGGCGAAGGCGGAUCUCUGGGCCGAUACUGACGCUGAGGAGCGAAAGCGUGGGGAGCGAACAGG